rnacentral:rRNA from 1 species
UACAGAGGGUGCAAGCGUUAAUCGGAUUUACUGGGCGUAAAGGGCGCGUAGGUGGUUGCGUAAGUGAGAUGUGAAAUCCCCGGGCUUAACCUGGGAACUGCAUCUUAUACUGCGUAGCUGGAGUGCAGUAGAGGGUAGUGGAAUUUCCGGUGUAGCGGUGAAAUGCGUAGAUAUCGGAAGGAACACCAGUGGCGAAGGCGGCUACCUGGACUGACACUGACACUCAGGUGCGACAGCGUGGGGAGCAAACAGG